rnacentral:sRNA from 1 species
UGGCGCAAGAGAAUGGGCCGUCCCCCGG